AGUUUGAUCCUGGCUCAGCUUGUUACGCUGGGGGCAGGCUAACACAUCAAGUCGAGCGGUAGCACAGGAAGCUUGUCUCUGGGUGACGAGCGGCGGACGGGUGAGUAAUGUCUGGGAAACUGACUGAUGGAGGGGGAAACUACUGGAAACGGUAGCUAAUACCGCAUAAUGUCUACGGACCAAAGUGGGGGACCUUCGGGCCUCAUGCCAUCGAUGUGCCCAGAUGGGAUUAGCUAGUAGGUGGGGUAAUGGCUCACCUAGGCGACGAUCCCUAUGGUCUGAGAGGAUGACCAGCCAACUGGAACUGAGACGACGGUAGACUCCUACGGGAGGCAGCAGUGGGGAAUAUUGACAAUGGCGCAAUGCCGAUGCAGCCAUGCCGCGUGUGUGAAGAAGGCCUUCGGGUUGUAAGCACUUUCACGCGAGGAGGAAGGGUUCAGUGUUAUAGCACUGUACAUUGACGUACUCGCAGAAGCAACCGGCUAACUCCGUGCCAGCAGCCGGUAAUACGGAGGGUGCAAGCGUUAAUCGGAAUUACUGGGCGUAAAGCACGCAGGCGGUUUGUUAAGUCAGAUGUGAAAUCCCCGCGCUAACGUGGGAACUGCAUUGAAACUGGCAAGCUAGAGUCUUGUAGAGGGGGGUAGAAUUCCAGGUGUAGCAAAUGUGGAGGAAUACCGGUGGCGAAGGCGCCCCUGGACAAAGACUGACGCUCAGGUGCGAAAGCGUGGGGAGCAAACAGGAUAGAUACCCUGGUAGUCC
rnacentral:rRNA from 1 species